GGUUCCUACCACCGUCCUUCUUUCUCUCUCUCUCUCUUUGUAUGGUUCUAUAUAUAUAUAUAUAUUCCCAUAUGCGCGCAUAAAAUUUUAAAAUUGGUGUGAAUUAUUUUUUGAUCGACCAUGGCUUUCUUCUUCAACCUCUUCUCCAGCUGCUUCUCUGAUUCCCCACGACGGGUCGCCUGCGAAGGUGUCUCAUCCGCACAGAGCAUCAGCUCCGGCGAAGUUCCGUCACCGUCGGCGGCGAAUGAAGCCAAGAAGCCUAAAGUAAAGUCCGGCGGAAGCCGUGCUCCAAUUCCGGUUACCUACUUCCCCAUCGGAAGUAGGUUUUCUCGCUUGUGAUUAGUUGAGAAGUAUUAUCAGCUCUACGUCCUUCGAGUAACCGGAACUAGCGUCCUGGUGUAGGGAGCGUAGUGGCCGGUGUAUUGGGUUUAAUGCUGGGUAAGUGCUAGGACUGUAAUUUUGAUGGGUUGCCAUUUUGGGGAUGUGUUGAGCACUCGUUUGUACGUUUUGAUAGAGCAUUGGGUCUGCUUUUGUAUAGAUUCUGGUAUGGUACUGCAUAUGUAUGUAUGGUUUUUCCGCUACGUA